rnacentral:rRNA from 1 species
AUUGAACGCUGGCGGCAGGCCUAACACAUGCAAGUCGAGCGGAUGAAGGGAGCUUGCUCCUGGAUUCAGCGGCGGACGGGUGAGUAAUGCCUAGGAACCUGCCUGGCUGUGGGGGAUAACGUCCGGAAACGGGCGCUAAUACCGCAUUCGUCCUGAGGGAGAAAGUGGGGGAUCUUCGGACCUCACGCUCUCAGAUGAGCCUAGGUCGGAUUAGCUAGUUGGUGGGGUAAAGGCCUACCAAGGCGACGAUCCGUAACUGGUCUGAGAGGAUGAUCAGUCACAUUGGAACUGAGACACGGUCCAGACUCCUACGGGAGGCAGCAGUGGGGAAUAUUGGACAAUGGGCGAAAGCCUGAUCCAGCCAUGCCGCGUGUGUGAAGAAGGUCUUCGGAUUGUAAAGCACUUUAAGUUGGGAGGAAGAGCAGUAAGUUAAUACCUUGCUGUUUUGACGUUACCAACAGAAUAAGCACCGGCUAACUUCGUG